UUUAAAGUCUGGCAAAAAAAGUAACAAACUAUAAGAGACAUCAUGAGACGCUUUACUCUUCGUCGUCCUCAUCAUCAUCGUCGCCACCAGCAGCUCCGUUCAGUGCCUUGACUCUCUCAAUCAACUUGUUCUUCCUCUCUUCAUAGGUCAGCUUCUUCAAGUUGUACCUGUUUAUAGAUCAAAACAUACAAAUGAGACACCAACGCACCAAAACGAGCCAAUAGUACUAAUAAAGAUUGAAAUGCUCUCACCUCUUGUGUGUCUUGGGAGCAGGUUUCUCAGUCUUCUUGGGGUUGGGGUCUGCACGGAUGGCUGCAUGAACCUUCUUGUACAACUCCUCCAUGCUCUCGGCAUCAACUCCUUUCUUCAAGUACUGACUGAAGUGAGUCUGAAACUUCUCUGGCUCAUCCUCGUUCAACAUCUUCAUGUAGUUUGAGACGUGACCACCAUAGAUGUAGUUCCUGUGGAUCUCAGCAUCGAGCUGUUUGUUCUCCUUGUUGAAACCUGCAAAUCUCUUGUCACUGUGAGGGAUAUCAAGUCCUCCGUCCAACGCACCCUACAGUUAAACCAUAAACAAACCCAAAAGAAUAUUAAAGCUUGUCAUGUAAACACAAUACAACAGAUAAGAACAAUGAUAAAACAUUACAGCAAUUUAUAUACCUUGAGUGCACCGAAGACACGGUUCCCGGUGGUGGUUCUGAUAAGACCAACAUCAAGAAGAGCACGGAAUGGUCUCCUGGACUCGGUUGGCUCAACGGAAAAGUCCUCUCCGGUAGCCUGUUCAUGAUUUUGUACGGUUAGAGAUCACAGCAAGAGAUAAAGCUCAAACCAGAUACAAGAAACAAAAGCACCAACAAACCUCAAGGUUGCCCUCGUACUCUUCAUCCAUUUCCAACAUCUUCAGAACACGGCGAGCCAAUAGAAGCCCGGUGCAGUAAGCUGUGUUUCACAAGGGUACUAACUAUUUAGCAAGACAGAACAAAACAACUAUAACAAGAAAACUAAAGCAAACGACUGAUCAGUACCAGCAGCGUAGUUAGUAAGACCAACGGUGAGACCAUACUGAGGCAGCUCAUGAGCGUAAGCAGAAGCCUUGACAAUGUCACCGGCGAUGCUUGCGGACACGAUCUGUGCGACUAUGUCUUUGUUGGUGAAGCGGACAACAAAACGGUACUUUGGUGUGUUGUACUUGUUCUUGUCUUGGUUGAUGAGACGGAUCCUUGCUCUGUAGUCAGUCUUACCAUCUGCACAAAAAUGAACAAACUAUCAGAACGGGUUGAACACAGACAAUAUCAACAAGAAAGUAAUGCAGAGUCAAAUAAAAAUACCUCUCCUUCUCCUGAACUUGACUUGGUACCUCUUGAAGUAAGCGUUCGACUUGGAUGGCUUCACAAACACCUAUCAAUAUAAAAAAAAAAAUCUUAUAUCGUUAAACUAUCAUAUAAAGCCCAAGUUCUAACGAUGAAGCUGUUCUUCCUAAAGAAGCAAAGAUCUAUGUGAAAGAUCGUAAAGGUACAGCCUUUAAACAUCAAGACCAAAACCCAUUAAGAUUAUAGCAGAGCUCAAGAAUUCUCGUUACCAAAGCUCAGACAAAUAUGAAAAUAUCUAAAGAAACGCUGGAGAAAACUAAUGUAGGAGAUUUCCAUAUUAAACGAAAUGAAAAGCAGAAUCUUAUUGUUUGAGAAAAUUAAGAAGAAAAUAAGAAGGCGGAGAGAUGGAAGCUAGGGCGUACCAUUGUUUGAAGCUAAGCGGAAGCUUUGGGUGUGAGCUGAGAGUGUCGUGAAGACAAGAGGCGGAACAUAAACCAAAAUGCAAGAUCUUAUAAUGAAAAACCCUAGAUCACUCCUUCUUGGGCUCUCUCCCUUUAUUCCACGGCCACGAUUUAUCUGGGCUUAAUCAUGUUCUUACGGUCUACAUCGGUAUAAUGAUUCUGCAAGGGCUCAUUAGUCUUUAUAUUUGGGCUUUUGUCUUCCCAAACUAUUCUGAGUUAAGCUUAUUUAGCUCGAAAAUGUUUUAUAAAAAUGCAAUAACUCAACAAUAUUUUAUUUUAUUAGUUUCUGAUAUUUUUUUUUUGUCAACAAGAGUUUCUAAUUAUUUAUCUGAUGCAAAUAUGUGUUGGACUAUUAUCUUAAUAUUUUGGGUGUGACAUUAUUAUGAGACUUUUUCUGUAAUGAUGGUAUUUUUUUUGAAACAGAGUACAAAUGAUGGAAACUGAAUAAUAUGCGGUAGCUUAAAACAAAUGUACAACUUAGAGCAUCUUUAACGGAUAGCUUAGGAAGGGGGUGCAUAGGAAAAAUUAGUUUAAUAGUCGGUGGGCUCCAUCCAAAUGUAACAGCCGCUGCUUGAUACUCCCAGAUAAGCGUCGAAUUAUGUGGGUUGUUUGUAUUGUCCGUGGACUCCACCGACAUGUGGCGGUCCGCGAUAGUUUUUUUUUCUUAAAUCAGAUUAAAAAAAUUAAAAAAAUAAGCACCCCCUAAUGGGGUGCUGCGUUAUGCUCUUAGAAAUUUGUAACUAGUUUGUGUAGUUCUUGAACAUGUGGCUCAGGGCUGGUAAUUUGUGUAGUUCUUGAGAAUGUGGCUCAGGGCUGGUAAUUUGUGUAGUUCUUGAGCAUGUGGCUCAUGACUGGUAAUCAGUGUUUUAGUGUAACUAAAUCAUCAAUAUGGUCUGCAGCAAUAUAUAGCUACGACUUGAAUGUAGUAACUGUGAUUUCUAGAUUAAGUGUGGGAAUUCCACCAAUAUUAUAUCUUGGUCUUUUCCUUACCACCAAAACAGUUACCAGUCAUGAUUAUAAAACCCACAACCGCCUAUCCACUUGAAAGAAUUUGAAACCUCUUUCAUACAGGCAGAUCACAAUUCAUAAAAUGUAUAUCAUUUUUAGCUGCUGGUGCUCGGUUUCUGGGAUUCCAAAGACCUACCAUGGGACCUUUGUGAUGCUGUGUAUUCUCAUGGUCAUGAACUCAUAGUAAAUAUUUUUUCUUUUGUUUGAGACAUGUAAAUACUUUUUUUUUUGUUUCCUUAAGGUGAAGGAGGAUUUGGUACCUCGAAACUAAGAGAAUUGACAAAGCUUUUUUUUUCUUAGGCUGAAUUGGUAUCCUAUAUUCCUAUGGUGCAUUACAAUUCAACGAACUGUAUCCAUUCCAGCAAUGUAAAUAUUUUGUUUGAGACAUCAUCUUUCUCAUAACUGUUAGUCGAUAAAUUUUCAUUAGAAAAAGGAGAGUUCAAUAAAUUUAAACCCUAUAGUACCAUAAAAAACAUUAUGCAAAAUCAAAUGCUGUGAAAUGUGCAUGUGUGACUAAGGAGAGCGCUAAUGCCAUUUGCUAUAGGAUCUGUAGAAUGGAAAGAAACAAUAUGUAACGUGAAUAUUGCAACAAUGACUUUCUGAUUAGUGAUUGAUGAAGUAGGGAAGGUAUGUAAGGCUUUGCAACGUGUGAUCGUGAGAUUGAUCGUUUAGCUGAAUAAUAAGCUUCUGGAAUAGUUAACCAGAGGCUUUCUAGACUAAAAGACUUGAUUCGUGAUGAUCAACAUAUUUAAGAAACAUAAAGAGCGUAAUCAGACCAGCUAAACCAACAAUGCUAACCAAUAUUAAUUAAUAAUAAAAAAAAAGAAAAAAAUUGAUUCAUAAUCGUUUGGAACACCCUCAUUAGACAUCACUUUUUGCUUUCUUAAUUUCAGAUAAAGAGUUAAAAGUCUAUUUUGCAUACUCAAGAUUUUUAUGUAUUGUCUAAUCCAUUGAAUUGUUCGAAAGGUUAUAUCAGACUCUGAUAAUGAAUGAUUGAUUGGUUGAGCAAUGAACAUUAAAGUACGCAUAAGAUCAAACUAUAAAAAUUCCAAAAUCAUGAAAAUGUCAAAAAAAAAAUUAACUUCUUGAUAGAAAAUAGCAAUUCUCAUACUCAAAACGGACAUAAAAUGUGAAAACACGAGCUUAAUGUUUUAAGUCUGGCAAAAAUGUAAAAAGCUACAAGAGACAUCAGGAGAAAGGCUUAUGACGCUCUACUCUUCGUCGUCCUCAUCAUCAUCAUCACCACCAGCUGCUCCGUUCAAUGCCUUAACUCUCUCGAUCAACUUGUUCUUCCUCUCCUCGUAGGUCAACUUCUUCAAGUUGUACCUGUUUUAUCAGUCAAAACCACACAAUCAGGCACCAAUGCACCAAAAGCAUUAAGAAAGAAUGAAAUGUUUUUGUAAAUGAUUUACCUCUUGUGUGUCUUGGGAGCAGGUUUCUCAGUCUUCUUGGGGUUGGGGUCUGCACGGAUGGCUGCAUGAACCUUCUUGUACAACUCCUCCAUGCUCUCAGCAUCAACUCCUUUCUUCAAGUACUGACUGAAGUGAGUCUGAAACUUCUCUGGCUCAUCCUCAUUCAACAUCUUCAUGUAGUUUGAGACGUGACCACCAUAGAUGUAGUUCCUGUGGAUCUCAGCAUCGAGUUGCUUGUUCUCCUUGUUGAAACCGGCAAAUCUCUUGUCACUGUGGGGGAUAUCAAGUCCUCCGUCCAAGGCACCCUACAGUAACAAUAAACAAACUCAUGAAACACACAACACAACAGAUAAGAAUAAGGUAUUACAACAGUUAUAUAUUACCUUGAGUGCACCAAAGACACGGUUUCCUGUGGUGGUCCUGAUAAGACCAACAUCAAGAAGAGCACGGAAUGGUCUCCUAGACUCGGUUGGCUCAACGGAAAAGUCCUCUCCGGUAGCCUGUUCAUUAUUUUAAAAGAUUAGAGAUUACAGCUAGAGACCAGUACAUGAAACAAAAGUAAAAACAUACCUCAAGGUUGCCCCCGUACUCCUCAUCCAUUUCCAGCAUCUUCAGAACACGACGAGCCAAAAGAAGCCCGGUGCAGUAAGCUG
rnacentral:lncRNA from 1 species